GCACGGAGUUAGCCGAUGCUUAUUCCUCAGAUACCGUCAUUGUGUUCUUCUCUGAGAAAAGGAGUUUACGACCCACGGGCCUUCCUCCUCCACGCGGUAUUGCUCCGUCAGGCUUUCGCCCAUUGCGGAAAAUUCCUCACUGCUGCCUCCCGUAGGAGUCUGGACCGUGUCUCAGUUCCAGUGUGGCUGAUCAUCCUCUCAGACCAGCUACUGAUCGUCGCCUUGGGAGGCCAUUACCCUCACCAACUAGCUAAUCAGACGCAAGCCUCUCUUUUGGUGGUUUUCACCUUUCGCUCCUCAGCUCUAUGAGGUAUUAGCCGCAGUUUCCCGCGGUUGUCCCUCGCCAAAAGGUAAGUUCUUACGCGUUACGCACCCGUCCGCCACUGCCAUACGAUAGAGUAAACCCCAUCGUAUUUCGUUCGACUUGGCAUGUGUUAAGCAUACCGCCAGCGUUCAUC
rnacentral:rRNA from 1 species